AUACGGAGGAUGCAAGCGUUAUCCGGAUUUAUUGGGUUUAAAGGGUGCGUAGGCGGAUGAUUAAGCGUGAGGUGAAAUGCCACUGCUCAACAGUGGAACUGCCUCGCGCACUGGUUGUCUUGAAUGCUCCUGCCGUGGGAGGAAUGUGUGGUGUAGCGGUGACAUGCAUAGAGAUCACACAGAACACCGAUUGCGAAGGCAUCUCACGAAGGGGUGAUUGACGCUGAGGCACGAAAGCGUGGGGAUCAAACAGGAUUAGAUACCCUGGUAGUCCACGCAGUAAACGAUGAUAACUAACCGCUGGGUCGUAGUGAUUCAGUGGCCAAGCGAAAGCGAUAAGUUAUCCACCUGGGGAGUACGACCGCAAGGUUGAAACUCAAAGGAAUUGACGGGG
rnacentral:rRNA from 1 species